rnacentral:ncRNA from 1 species
AAUGGGAAGCGCGGUGAGAUUCCGCCACUGCCCCGCAACUGUAAUCGCGCUCCUCCGAUGCAUUGAGGAGACGCGGAGCUUCGAGGCGCCGGUCGUCACUGCGAACAGCGGGAAGGCGAGGUGCGUGGCAUUACCGAGGCCCUGCGCAAGCGCGUAAGUCAGGAGACCG